AGCAGCCGCGGUAAUUCCAGCUCCAAUAGCGUAUAUUAAAGUUGUUGAGGUUAAAAAGCUCGUAGUUGAACCUUGGGCCCGGCCCGUCGGUCCGCCUCACCGCGUGCACUGACUGGGUCGAGCCUUUUUUUCUGGAGAACCGCAUGCCCUUCACUGGGUGUGCCGGGGAACCAGGACUUUUACCGUGAACAAAUCAGAUCGCUCAAAGAAGGCCUAUGCUCGAAUGUACUAGCAUGGAAUAAUAGAAUAGGACGUGUGGUUCUAUUUUGUUGGUUUCUAGGACCGCCGUAAUGAUUAAUAGGGACAGUCGGGGGCAUCAGUAUUCAAUUGUCAGAGGUGAAAUUCUUGGAUUUAUUGAAGACUAACUUCUGCGAAAGCAUUUGCCAAGGAUGUUUUCAUUAAUCAAGAACGAAAGUUAGGGGAUCGAAGACGAUCAGAUAC
rnacentral:rRNA from 1 species